GCAGCCGCGGUAAUACGUAGGGGGCGAGCGUUAUCCGGAUUCAUUGGGCGUAAAGCGCGCGUAGGCGGCCUGCUAGGUCGGGACUCAAAUCCGGGGGCUCAACCCCCGCCCGGUCCCGAUACCGACAGGCUUGAGUCUGGUAGGGGAAGGCGGAAUUCCAAGUGUAGCGGUGGAAUGCGCAGAUAUUUGGAAGAACACCGGUGGCGAAGGCGGCCUUCUGGGCCACGACUGACGCUGAGGCGCGAAAGCUAGGGGAGCGAACAGGAUUAGAUACCCC
rnacentral:rRNA from 1 species